rnacentral:lncRNA from 1 species
CGAAAAUAAACAUACAACUAACAUUACAAAUGUGUGGUUAUGUGAAGGAGGGCUUUGGAUAUCCUUGUAUCUCAUGAGUUGGCCACAUAUGACCCUGCGGAAGACAAGUACAGUCUACCAUGAAGUGUAUUCGUCACCGGAGGAUCCAGACCAACAACACGCAAUUAUGAUGCGUGCUAUAUUAAGUCGUGUCAAUAAAGAAAAUGCGAGGGGAGUGUCCGCACACCUGAUCGCCUGAUAGCAUGUCCGGCGUCAUAUCCCCAUCGCAUCAGUGUGGUUUCAUGUUAUAGUUAUGUAACGCUAGUUAAUCUAGAAGUACGUAUUGCGUAUCAGUGGUCAUGUGUGACCCGUGUCUAAAUCGCCUUGUAUCGUUAUUAUUUACUGUUUCGCCUAUGCCUUAUCCCGGCAACAUAUUAGGUGUAUUCGGGCGUCCUGCAUUUUUGGCGUCCGUUAUGGAUUGUAAUGAUGUUUGUCGAAGUUUGAAUAAUGUUGUGUCUCUGCAACUAGCAUCAUUUGUUGUUUUUAGUGGUCACCUUAUGUUCUUCCAACCGAUCGAAGCAGAUCUUGCACAUCCUACAUGCAUGAUCCCGAAGAAAGCCGUUGACCUCAUUGAGAGCAAUGCGGGCGUCUUGGACAAUUCAGGCAGCAUCGUUCAAGAAAUCAAAAGAUGGCAGGCUCGUCAUUCAAGGAGGUUUUCGGAAGUAUGUCGAAAAUCUCGAAAUGAAGUAAGAUGAUAUUGUGGUCAUCACUUUUCACAAACGCGCUGGUUCUGCGUCCAUGACCGUCCGGGUGUGCAUCUUAUCCUAAAACACCUAUGUCGUGCUAGUGUCUAUUUAAGGCAGCUUAUUAGUCCCUAUGUGCCUCCUCGCUAAUCGUGCAGCAUCUCAAUGCCUGCCCUUUUGUGAGAACUGAUGAACCUGGAACAUGUAACCUUCUGUGUGUGGUAUGUGACUAUGUGACUUUUCCACCUAUGCAUGUCCGUUGACUAUAUUUCCGAUCCGUUGGCAUAUUUUCUACUAAUGGCGAUCUGCUCUGCAUUGCUAAACUAUAAUUUCCCAUGGCUGUAUGUUUAAGUUGGAUGCAACGCGCGUAAUGACAUGAAUGGAAUUUGUGAUUUGUGUUGCAACAUCGGAAAUUCUUCUUACAUGAUCACAGCGGGUAUGAUAUGUUCAUCACUGGUAUAUAACCCACAUCCCUUCUAUCCAUAUUGUCAUAAUACGCAUCAUGUGCCCGGCACAUGUGUCCGCAUAUCUUGUGCUUGGCACGUACUGUUUCGCAGUUGAACCCAAACCGUGCCUACUCUUCUUGUACCUUGUACAUGACAGCCGAACGACUCAUCUUGUACCUCGUACAUGGCAUCAGGAUGACUCAUGCUUGGUACAUGACACUUGAUUGUAGUAUACUCAACAUGCACGUGAUUGCAAGGCAAGCCCAAUAUGUGCCAGGUACAUGUUUCCGACUUGACUACGAAUUGACCGUCCUAUGGAAACGUAACUGUUGGCCCAUGACAUCGGAAUUUCGUUUACAAUCUAACAUCACACAUAUAUUCAAAGCAAUGAAAAUCAUGCAAACUGGUCGUCCAUAUCUUGACAUCCAUACCAAGCAAUUUAUAUAUUUAGUCGUCUCCGAAUACAUUAGCUCACACAUAACCUUCGAACCCAUUCGUUGGUUUGACAGCAUAAUAUAUAGGUCCACCAAGACAUUCUAGUGCAUUAACAUACAAACGUUUGCGACCCAAACAGAUACGGUCCCAUGCAACAUGUGCCCCUAACAACAUUCGCCCCUUACAUUCAUUCGAGACUCAAUUUUGUAUCAUUCAUCGAUAGACUCGAUGAACUGAUGUGACCUCUUUGCAUUGUUCCCCUUGAGAUGUAGAAUGUCGUAAAGGUAAUAUGCCGCCAGAGAACUGUCAUCGUCCUGGAUAUGAUUGCGGAAACGUGAUCAAAACAGUAGUAACAAAUGAUUCAGGUAAUUUGAACCUGUGAUGUCCUAUUCUAUCUUUUUGGUCUUAACGACUACUAAAUUAGCAUACUUACCACAUGAAUAUUAUCUGUCUCUUGGUCACCGAUGAAGUUCCUGCAGAAGUUCAUGGUGUAAAACCCAGAUAGGUGCCUGCAAUGACGAUACGUAAAUAUGAUGAAUUUCUUGAAUCACGGAAAAUUCAACGGUAUAUCGUAGUAAUAUAUAACAAUUUCUUCCUAUGACUGGAAACACUUGUUUCGAGAAAUGGAUGUAACUGGAUGUAUUCUGGUUCUAUUUACGACCAUUUGUAUCCAUUUUUUCGACGAGUACUUACUGACGAAGGGAUUAAUAUUGAACGUGUCCUUAUCGCAAGAGAAACCAUGAGAAUUCAUUGAUUACCUUUCAGACACUUGACGUUUAUGAUGAAUAAUAGCCGGUUCUAAAUCACCGAACCCGAAGUCCCAAGAUUCAAAAUAUGUUUUUGCAAACUCAGACAUAGCAGACUUCAACAGGUUGCAGUUUCUCAUAUGUAGCUGUUUGAUUGCUCCACCAUUCUCCGAUGCUAAUGUCGGGUCAUAGAUGAACACCUUCUUUUUAAUUGUAUGUAUUGCAUAACAUACCCAAGCAAAGCUGACGUAGGCCGGAAACAUAAUCUGCAUCGCAAUUAAAUAUCCGUUGGACAAAAAAUUACUCAACUUUUCAUUCGAACAUGAAAAAAAUUGUAUGCCUGCUCAUAUUCCAGGAUACAUUUUACAUACCAACAUCCAAUUUUGUACGUCAUAGGUGAUAUGAUCUCCAAUGAACUGACCCCGAAUGGAUUUAUGCUGACAUGGCAUAUCUCCUGCCAUCACACGCAUCUGCCAACAGGGACAAAGUAGCAAGUAGUAAGAAGCGCACAGACAAAAAUACACUCGCCGAUAUGUAAACGGAUGCUUUUAUUAAAAAAAAGGUGUUUCACGCCUCAUUCCUUUAGUUAAAACUACAAUAUUUGAUGCGACGUGUUACCAUGAGAUCAGCCUCCAUGUAAUGUUUUAUUCUGGUCAUAUCCCCGCCUUGGGCAGCUCCAUCGUCUAUCUGUUUAAGUCUCCGAAUCAUAAGGCUAAAAAUGCCGUGAUCUACAUCAACCUUACCGCAGAAGGAACUCUUCAGCUGGUCUGCGGUCACCUCUAUGUAGCUUGGUGUAUGAUGCAUUAUCCACACGCUGUACAGAUAAAAUAAAUAGACACAAGGUUAUGUCAGCAAUUUUGGUGUACAAUAUAAAUACGAUGUAUUGCUAACCAUUACUUGACAUACGUUGCAAGAACCUUUCCCAGCAACCAUGUUCUCUAAAAAACCUAGUAAUGUUUGCAAGAGAACGUUGAUGUCUUACCAUUUAUCUGCAUGUGAUUCUUCCAUACUUGCUACGAAUCAGAAAAAAUCGUCUAUGACCUUCUUGUCAUGAUUGGCCAAUGCAGUGAUGCAUGGCCCUGCCACCUGGUUUGUGUGUGACACAGUUCUCCUUUUAACCACAGGCGAGUUGCUGACGUCGAAAUCCAAAGUCUUUGCGUUGAGGUUAAUAAUGUCCGUAAACCUUGUGUCCUUCUCAAAUACAAAAUAGUCUUGAAUAAUCUUAUCAACGGAUGUCGGUGAGGACGACCUUGUCUGCUCACUGAGGUACCAGUAGGGAGGAACAGAGUCAGCUACUGAACUUGCAGGAGUGCCCAAAUUGUCCGAAGGACAUGCGCUGGGGGUGUGUGAUGACUGAUUUGGUCCUUGACCAUCACUACUCCCACCCGCAAUGCCAUCAUUUCGCCAUGAUUCGCAUGAUGAUCUAACACCUUGAGAUCCGUUGUUAAUGUCAGCAGCAUCCCCAUCCGAUAUAUUUUCGAAUAAAGCAUAACCACCAUCUUGAUAUCUAGAGCUGACACUCUUAUUCUUGCCCACCUUUGGUGACGGGGUGAAAUCCAAACAGAAAUCAAAACUCGGCUCAUUGUCCCAGCGAACCGUGUUCACACGUUUCCUAACAUCCAUUGUGUUCCCCUCAGGAGUACUAGCUAGCAGGUCGGCCACAUUGAGAUCGACAUCCAUCUCAGAAUUAGACCUUAGCCCCCACCAUGUUGCGAUGCUAGUGCGUUGCUUGUUGCAUCGAUAUCCACACGAGGGCGUUUAUUUUGCAUAUGGAGAACGAAAGCUUCAUCGUUCCUCUUUUCUGGGCUGCUCACAUCUGCGAUCCAACAUAUAAAACUGAUGGCAACAACUUAUUAGUUUUACACACGUAUACAUAUGGGAUGCAUGCUAACAAGACUAAUAAAAAUUACGCGUCUGACAUGUCGUAACACGUACCAUCAGAAGCCAUAUCAGCCUCCACUGUUGACGAUUUCGUGGCAUUGUUGUCUCUACUUACAAUCGUCGACCCAGAUGCAUGCAUUACACCCUUAUUACGUGUAAAGUUGUUGUCAUUCAACAUUCUGUAUAUCUUCCCAUAAAAUUUUGCAUUCAUAACUUCAACAUGUUUAAUGAUGCCCUCUUGGUGUGCUUUCAGCUCAUUAUAUACGUUAAGUUUGGCCUGCACACAGAUCAGUCAUAUGGUUUCAGAAAAAUGUAUGCCAUCAAUUAAAAAGGACUGGCUCUACGACAACGCACAAAUAUGAUGUGAAACACCGCUGCGGUCAGGAAUGUCAGCUGAUGCGUCAAGCCCAUAGCAUCACAAAUCUUGGUUGCACAUGCCCAAGCAUCCCCCCUUGUUGCGCAUUAUCUUGGUCAUCUGCCCUGGAAUAUGCUGAACUAUCAACAUCACAUGGCUGCAAAACGAAACACAUAUAAAAGAUGAGUAUGCCCUAUCAGCGAAGUUCCGGUGCUAAUCUGGAUACUGAACUGGGUGGGGACUUACUGCUGAAAUCCCAUAAAUGAAAUCUCCGUUUUUCGAUGAAUCCAUUGGCCUUUUGUCGGCAUUGAUCAUGGCUCUAAUUUUAUCCACGGUGAAAGCUUUAAUUCUGGGGAACACAUCAUGUGUCAUGCUUAAAUCCCCCAACUGAAUGUUGUCUAGAUAGAAAACCUAAGAUACAUGCCGAAAAACAAAACAACAAAAAACAAUAUUAAUAACCCGUCGUUUAUCAGAUGCGUAUACUGUAACAUCAGCUGUGUGCUGAUGAAGUAAUGAGGUAUCUGAAACGUCUUGACCUGUAGGAAGAGCAGACAUCCUGUUAUGUUCGACACCGUGGCUUUCCUGCGAAUAUCUUGUUUCAUCUUAACGGCGGCUGCGCACAGUACUUCAACAAUAUAUCUUCCCCAAUUGAACUUAUCCAAGCUAUCCGGGUCGACCAGUGCUGGCCAAUAAUCAGUGUAGAAGUAGUCAUUCUUGACUGUCGGUGCAAAUACAUUUUUCAUCAUGAAUACGAUGUACGCAGUUUUGAAUGCAACCACCUCUGUUUGUGACAUCUUCCCCUUGUAGUCACGUGACAGUAUGGACUGUAUGCUCUUCAGACUUCUUACCUCCUUGUUCUCUAUCCCCAAACAACCACGCAAGUAUGCAUAUACAGUGUCACUCCUAUCAAGAGUUUUGUCCAUGACAUCUGUUCCAGCUGCCGGGAUUCCGAAUACCUUCUCAACAUCACUCUCAUUGAACUUAAAAACCUUAUUCGGUCCCAGUACAAAGGCUUGUCUGACCUCAUCCACCAUCCCUAGAAGCCAGACCAUAUGCCUGACGCUUAGUUUGCUGAUCAGAGGCAUCAGUAGAGUGCCACCCCAACCCAUAGAGUUAACAAUUUCUCGUUUCUGCUGGUCAAAUUGCGAAAUAAUAGAGUACACCUUUUGAAUUGAACAUCUGAAAGUAGGGCCAUUAUACCCGUCGCCCCUGUCUGUUUCGUCCUCUUCAACGAUUGUGGGCAGCUUGUUGAGCUUGCUGUGGUUCUGCAGAUUCAGAGCAUUGGUCAAAUGUAGAACUCUUGAUACGGAUAAACAAAAACGUUGAUUUCUUUUCUACGGCUGUUACCCAACAAACACCUUGGCGCAUCCCAUCUAACAAAAAAGGCUAACUACAAAACCUUGGUACUUCUAAAACUGCAUCAGUAUCAGCUACCCUGCACUAUCCAAUCAGUACAUAACGUGCAUAUCGUUUUGCAUCCCCGGAUCCCAGUAUCAACAGUGGGAGAUUCAAAUAUUAAGAUUACAUGCCAUCUUGCCUGCAUAAUGGCUGAUUAUUGACAAACACCUGACGCUUAUUUGCUUCCCCAAACCUGACCCUAAUCUUGCCUGCAGAAGAAACAAAUCCAUGAAUAAUCUCAAUCCUGGUAUGCGCCCCAUCCCGAAAAAACAUCCCGACCAUCUAUAAAACCUAUGCGAUUAGCUGAAAUAAAAAGUUUACCUGGUGUGGCUCCGUUCAAUGGGUGGCGGCGCGAGAUGACCUGGGCGGCGGUGCCCGCCGCGGCCCGGCACUGGUCGUCCCCGGCGGCCCGCCCGUCCCGGCGACUCCUCUUUCACCAGGCACUCCUGUCUCCCGCAAGGAUUUGGCUUCAGUUCAUGCUCUGCCUUCCUUGGAUCCCCCUCCCCCGCCGCCUAGCAUGCUCCUGGAGGUACGAGUGGGGACGCAGAAAGACCUUUCUCACGGGCCGCCUCCCCCCGUGUCCGAUAGUGUCUGAACUUUUCUCUAGCUGAACAGUACCCUAGGCUAUGAAAUAGGCAUAUCACGGGCGACGGGUACUACUAACCCACCCGAUGUAACCGUGGCCUGGCCAUCUUACAGUAAAGGCUGACGCAUAUCCCGAUGUAUAUGGACGACCCGGAUAAGAGGGCCGGGGUGCAGCUGUUCUAUUUUAUAUGUUCGCCCGGGGACGCGGAUUUUUUCGAACAGUUGCACCGGGGCCGCGCUAUCGUAGCGGUCGAAGCGACGCGCUUUCCCUCGAGAUGCCCACCGCAUGAUAGCAAUUUAGUGCAUGUAUUACCGUGUCAGACUUCUGUCACGGAUCCUGUCGUCGUAGGGUAACAGCUCUACCGCAUCCUCUGUAUUUUUUUGUCUCUACCCGACCCCUUGCAUACCGACGCGGCCCGUGAGCACGGCUGGUAUUUCUCCCCUAUACAGCGCACUGCUUGGUCUCCUAAGUCUUCGCUGUAAUGGAUUGGGUGCAAGGAGGCGAGUCAAUGGCGCCGGCACUCGCCGCACCGGGAAUCUCCCCGUCGGCCGACUAUAGGUACGUAUCAAGACUGGAUACUGGUGUACUAAUCACAACGCUCGUCCGGGAUGCGUUAUAGUCGACUUCUUAAUAUUCCCCAAGCGAGUUUCUGAAUCCCCUCUCCUUCUUGUUCCUGAGCCGGAGCACAGAUCCAACCAAGCCGCCGGCGACCUGUCCUCCGCAAUCAGGCCGAUCGAUGGAGGGUUAUCGGGGUCGGAUCUAUCGUGGCGUCCAGCCAUCCAGGAUAUCGCGCGAGUCCCGGACGAAACGCCAUACUCCAAGUAAGUUUAUCCAUCUUCAGUGUGUCCGAUCCACAAAAUCGUAGUAUUGAGCUCAUGUAUGUCCUCCUAAACUUUUGAUCUCAAAUUUUUAGUGCGCACAUAGGGCUAGUAACGCCUCCGGCCACACUGAAGGGCGCGAAUGCAUGCGCCUACAACUCAGAUUUUAAUCCAGAUGUACGUGAUGAUGAUUCUGGAAGCGUUAUAGUUGUGCCUGGAUGGAAGAAACGGUAAACACAUCCGCCUACACAGAUACACCAUUUAUCCAGAACUGGGUGAUUCGCAUGUCACAACGUUGAAAAAACAUAAGUUCUCAUCAAUAUUUCCGAUAAUCGAGCUUAUUUUCAUAUCAGGAAGUCUGUUAAUGAUAGUUUUUCAAAAUGAAAUAAUAAUGUUCGGAUGUUGCCUGGUCGUAGUCGCGAUAAUACUACCAUUCCACAUCAUUAAACAAUUUUAAUAUGUAUUUUUAGCUGGGAUAUUAUGAUUUUAUCGUAAUGAUAACAGAUUGCUUACAUUAUAAUCAGGAAUGUUGGGGCUAAUGGCCCUAACACGAGGACACCUCCGUCCACAAAGACAGCCAUCGAGCGACGUCUGCUCGAAAUGAAUGAUCGUAGAGGCAGUGAAAUCUUCGAGCCAGUGGUCGGAACCGACUUCGACUCAUGUCAAGAAGCAUAUGAUUUCUACAAUUUGUAUUCGUGGGAGCACGGAUUCGGCAUUCGGCGUGGCAGAAGCAGAGUUAACACAAACAAGUACAAGUUGAUGUACGAACUUGUUUGUCAAUGCGCGGUAUGUAGUAACUUCGUGGUCAUUCUUUUCCCAUCAAGAUUCUGUUCUCUACUAUAUUUCCAUGUGUGUCUGACCCGCUUUCACAUGUCGUGGAAAAAUUAUACAGGGAAAAAUUGACAAAGAAAACUCGUCAUCAUGCAAGAUCGACUGCAAGGCUAUGGUGAGAUUGCUGCGUACCAAGGAUCAUGGAUGGUACGUCAGUAUGUUUGUCAAGGAGCACAACCAUCGUUUGUCGGUUGGAUACGAUGCAAAACUCCAGUGGAAUUCACACGAUUUCAUAGACCCCGUUUCAUUUGACUUCAUCAAGAAUCUUCGAAGCAAUAAUAUCAGUGUUGGCAAGGUUUAUAACAUUUUGUGUGGAGCAGAAUGGAAUUUGCAAGCAGUUCCCUAUAGGAAGCAAGUAUUACGAACACUAUGUGCCAAAUUCUCUCAGGACACAAUGAAAGAUGAUCUGACAAAAACCAUGAAACUUCUGCAAGGUAUGAAGAUGGAGGACAUGAAUUUGAAGGUUGAGAUAGACGUAGACGGAGAUGGUCGUGUCCGUACAAUGCUAUGGGUAACAGGAAAAAAUCGUCAGGACUAUUUUCACUUUGGUGACGUCGUUACCUUCGACACAACAUACAAGACCAAUUUGUAUAAUAUGCCGUUUGCCUUGUUUGUUGGGGUAAACAACCACUUCCAGUCUGUUAUAUUUGGUGGUGCACUAAUGCGAGAGGAAACUGAAGCUGCUUUUAAUUGGCUGUUUAAGACUUUUGUGGCUCUGAUGAAUGACAAGCAUCCCGUGACGAUCCUAACAGGUAUUGGUUAAUCUAAUUAACACACCUAUUUGAUCACAAAAAUCCUACACAUCAUGAUUAGCCUGUGAUCUCAUGUUUAUAUAUAUGUGCAUUUGUUCAUCUUUCAGAUCAAGCUUUAGCUAUGAAAGGUGCGAUUGAGAGUGUUCUCCCGAACACUAAACACAGAUGGUGUAAAUGGCAUGUCCUCCGGGACGUUAAAGGAAAUAUUGGCCAUGUGUACAACAAGUCUUCUGGGUUCAAGAAGGAAUUCAACAAGCUAGUCAACGAUGUGAUGUGUGUCGAUGAACUCGAAUCCAAAUAGUUGUCCCUCGUGAACAGGUCCAAUGUCAGUGAUAAUGAGUAUAUGGUUAGACUAUAUGAUAAGAGGGCCCUGUGGGCAGAGCCGUAUUUCAAGGGAAUUUUUUGUGCUGGAAUGACAAGCACAUAGCGUAGCGAGAGUGCUAAUCAUAUGCUGAAACAGUACAUACCGAGGUCAUCCCCCAUGCACGUGUUUGUUCGCCAAUACAACAAAUUCCUUGGGUCAAGGAUGAGCGAUGAGGCAAGGGAAUUCCAUCUAAAUGCAAAUGUAAGACCCACGACUCCGUUUACAUCUCAUUAUCUAAUAUCAUUAUGAAUUCUGUUAGUCGGUUUGCUAACGAGCCAUCGUUUGUGUGUAGAAAUCACGUACUUAUGAAUCCACAUAUGCAAUAGAGGAUGAUGCUGCAUCAAUAUACACACAUUCUGUUUUGCUGAAGUUCCAAGACGAGCUUUAUAAGUGUGGGAGUUAUGUAGUGACACCUGUGGUGCACGGUGCACAAUACAUGGUUAGUGUCACACCAUCCAAAGUAAAGGAUGCAACAAAGAGGAAGUGGAGAAAUGUCAAGAUCGAUGACGAUAGGCAGUUCAUAAACUGCGAUUGUGGGAUGUUCGACCAUGUCGGUAUGUUGUGCAGACAUGCAUUGAAGGUAUAAUGAUGUCCGCACUGGUAUAAUGCGUUCUUUCCGUACGGUUAUCUAUCCCAGAUUAAUAGCAAGUCCGUAAGAUAAGUAGUUGCAACCAUUCACCCCAUGCAGGUAAUGAUUCGUGAAGAUUUUCUGAAGAUCCCCUCUAAAAAUAUUUUGAAGCGAUGGACUAUAUGGGCAACCGGAUCUUAUCCAGCAGGCAUGGACAUGAGCAAUAACGGGCCACAUACAUAUGACACUAGUUAUCUAAAGAACCUCCUGCAUAUUGCUGUUGAGGAUCUCAUGAAUGCGAGUUCACAUGAUAAGAAGAGUUUAGAAGCUGCGGUAGAAGGGAUGGGCAAACUCACAGCUGCAGUACGGAAGAACACUAGUAUGACUGAAACCAUCCAUCGUCUGGAACCGCCACACAUCGAGAGUUUCGUCAACAUCCACGUCAACACGGUUCUCGCUCCUGAACGGGUGAAAAAAAGUGGAAGGCCAGCGUCCGUGAGUCCUAAGUCAAAGAUGGAUUAUGCUGCAGCAUCUGCUAAGAAGAAAAAUAAGAGUAAUAAAACUGCGAAGAAAAAGCCAUGUGGUGAGUUGAAGCCAAGGGAGCGUGCUCUAUCUUCCUUGUAUGAUAAUGACCAGACUACAGAUACCCCGUCUAAGGAGUUAGAAGAUGAAGUAUCGCCAAAUAUCCCCAGCAAGAAGAGGAAGGUAAUAUGUAGCACAUGCCACGAGCCUGGACACACACGUCUGAAAUGCACCAGAAGAGGCAUUGCACAAAACCUGUUCGAGUGCCUUCAAUUAUAAUCACGCCUGAACCUGGGCAAGUUGUGCACAAAGUUGUAUUUGUUUGUACUACUCACAUGCACGUUGGUGAAUGCUUCUUACCCAGAUUAGUUGUAUGCAUGGAACCAGUUUAGAUGUUGUCAUUGUAUUAUUGUUAAAAUUAGAUGUCGCCUUCUAGCGUUGUCUGCUUUGCACGUAUGCUUUUGUACGCUACGCCUAUAUUCAAAAUGCUUGAAAGUGCACAACUUUAAUCGGGCACGUGUAGUGUGAAGCAAACGUAUUCUAAGCCUGCUUAUUUCAUAACAGCAUAUAAACGCAUCACAUUCGAAGAUCAUAUUUUCCUUAUAAUAUUUCGUAAAUUUACUUCCUGUAUGAUCUUAUUUGCUGGAUCACUUUGUAGUAAUACACGCAUGUUUUAUGCCGCAAUUGUACGUGGAUGCCAUUAAGGUUUGCCGAUAUGUUAAAUGUUGUCGUCAUGAACCAUGUAUUUACGUCCCUAUGCGUGGAGGUGGAUUGUGCUACAAUUCACAUCCGCUUUGUGAUUUACAUGGUUUAAAUUUACUUGCCUCGAUGUGAACUAUCUGUUGGUACAUAAUGCUAAAAUGUUGCAUGAUGCAGGUUGAAAAUGUAUGAUGGCAAAAAGAUGGCACCCGGCGCAUUGCCAUGAUAUAGAUCGUUGAAGACACGACCAUGCUUACAGGAGGUAUGUAUGCCGUCGGUGGUACCAUAUACCACGAUCUUUUCAUUUACUAAUAUUAAUAUUUACCGAUUCAACAUGAUUUGCGUUUUGUGUUCAUAUGUUUCGUCCAGUACUGGGCUGCUGAUCAUGUUAGAUUUUACAUAGACCACGUUUUACUGCAUGUUCGUAACAACGAUAAGAAUAAGCCAAAUAUUUUACACUUGUAGCCACGUUGUUAUUAAAAUAAAACCAUGAGCGUGGAGACGUGCAACAAACUUAAUUGUCGAUAACACUCUCUGGAGAGAACAAAAAACACAUAAUGAUCGAAACAAGAAUACCCCAACAGUGUGAUCGAAACACAUAAUUAACUUGAUGUUCGUACCGACACACAUACUUAAGUACCAAAUACAUGGAUAACGACAUAGGCAUAAGUUCCAAACCAGACCAAAUCGCAAAGCCGGUGCAUCAUAAGGCAUCCGGUACAUAAUACGACAUAACCGAUAUAACUAAGACUUGAUGAUGAACAACAUCAACGUGCGAUCUUGAAGUCGAUCACCGAUGGUACCACAUAAUAUAGCUAAUAUAGAUAAUGGAUAUUGUUGACGCCUCCAUUCUUAACAGAUCACUCCGUGAAGCUUGCCCCGUCGAUCAUGUUCUCAUUUUACUCCAUGGUCAGCAGAAGGUAUGCGAGUGCUCUCACGAACCUCUUCAUAGUCUGCGUGAAACCACGAUGACAGAAUGUUAGAUAGAUAGUGUUGGAUCAAAGAAUGACAUGGGAAGUAAAGGUUUGGCUUAAUGAGGAUGAUUGUUCACUAAUAUACCUUGUCUCCAUGUUUCGGGACCCUGGUGUCACCGAAAUGCCAGCAUGCAUAUGCCGCCUCCAAACCAGUGUAUCCACUGUGGAAUAAAAAUGCAUUUAGUUCAGAUAUCAACUAAUUUAAAGCAUGUAUAUUUGAUCUGCGAAAACAUCAUAUGAUGUUGUAGACAGUACCGUUUGAUCUCUUUUCUCCCAUGCCAUCCCGGUAAGAACUCCCAGUCGUUAACGUCCCAUUCCGGUUUUCCCCUUAUGAGCUCAACAGAGUAGUAUAGCGAUUUUAGAAUGGUUUCAGCCUUGUCUUGGUGCCUUUCAGUCAUAGUCCUGCACGACAUUGUUGUGCAAUCCACCAUGUAUGCCUUCUUUGAGUUUGUGUCAUAAACAUAUGUCAUCCAUAUAUCAUUCUCCUUGUGCGGUAUGACGAACUGCACGAUUCACAUCGAUCAUUCCGGGUUUAAGAGUUGCCCCGCAUCAUAAGAAAAAGUUUUUGUAUUAUCUAGAUGUAAUGACUCGUGAGUACCUUAUCACAGAACUGCGGGUUAUGAGUCUCCACACCACCAAUAUUAAACAUGGACAUAACAUAGUAUAGCGGGAAAUUGCCUCCGUCCUCUUCUAUGGCGAUUUCCUGGCAACCAAAACAAAAUAAUGUACGUUAUUAGACGAAGCAUUAGGAUCAAGAGAAUAAAGCAAAACGUUGCUUGCAUCCUCAUCUACCAUAUAUUUCUAUAUAUGUGGGGCGCCAUAUGGAAUUACACUUACAGCGAAUUCAGGUGGCAGAAAAUGCGUGCACUGGCAAUUAGGAUUGUUCUUUCGGUGGUCCGACUUGUCCUGAAGCUCGUUAUACAAGCAUGCUAUGGCAGCAAUAGUUUUCUUAGUCACAUCCGACUGCUCUGUCAACUCAUUUAUGAGAUGCUCCCUAGCAAUGAUCUCAGAUACAGGAUACACAAUUCUGAUAUAAGACCUGACACAAUCGAUUGAAUGUAGGAUUAUCAGCAAAUGAUAUGAUUUUGUUAUCCAGUCUACAACUGCACAAGCACUUAAGGUAUACGCACCUGGACGUAUCAGUCAAGGGCCCUGGUUUUACCAGAUAUUGGAACAAAACCAUUGCCCGUUCAUACGGGCAUAAAUCCUUUAGAUUGUGCCAAAUGAUGGGUACUCUGUUAUCUACCAUGAAAAUGUUUUGGUUUGCAACAUGUUGAGUGUUGUCCGGCACGACCUCCUCAAUUCCAAUGUCCGAGGCAGGACCCACGUUGGCGUUUCCAGAUAGAGACCUAGCCAAUGAUCCCGCCACAUUUGAUGCACCUGAAAAGAUAACACAAGCACACGGAUAGUCAAUCGCUGUUGGUUUGGCACCGGGAGGGGAUGGGGUGGGGUGGGGUGGGGUGCUGUUGUGUUGUGCGGGUGGACUAGUAUCAUGAUUGAUUUUUGUUCUGUGAUCUUACCAUCGUCGAUGCGGUGUGUCACCGUAAUGCUGGGUGGCGCACCGCGGUUUAAAGCCGGAGAUGGAUAUAUACCCCUCUCGGCGGCUAUGGACACCAUGGUUAGAAUGUUGAGCACGUCUGUAUGUCAAGUAAAAGAGAUUCAUGACCAUUAAUAAAAUGUAUACAAAUACAACCGUGUAACUGGUGCAACACGGACCUAUUGGCCGGAUAUUGUUGAGAUGGGGUGGUGACGGAUUGUUUAAGUGAGUUUAAAUAACAAGACACUCGUAUAAAAUCAUUACAGUAUGGUGACUAUCGCUUGUGAUAUGAUAUAUUAUUACGGGUGUACAAACAGGGUAAUUCAUGCUAACUAUAAGUUUGUGUAUGAAUGUUUUUAAUGAUUAAAUAAAGAGUAGGUUGAAUUGAUUUUUAUUUAUACACGUCUUUGAUGGACCUAACAACAUAUGUUUAACCAUUAUAUUUCGGUAUGGUCCAUAUUGUUAUAAUUAAUGUAGGGGGCAUUUAUGUUUCAUGACAGUAAGCUUAAUGGGGACUCACCAUCCGGCAUUGGGUUGGGGACGCCUGGUGGGACGCCACGUGAAGAGACAUCUUCUCCACCAGCGAUAUCAGCCGGACGCUCAUUCGUAUCCAUCAUAUAUAUGUGGCCCGCAGCAUUCAUACGAUAUGUAUUGUCAUGGGGACGAUUUACAGACCCCCCAUUGUUACUUGGUAUCACAGGAACCGCAUCAGCAUUGCCGAAAUUAUUUUCGGUGCAAUCCCCUGCAGGUGCAUUUUCAUUUUGGCGAUCUGAUUCGUGUCCCGGUUGGACGCUACGAGUGUCAUCGCGUGCAGCAACAUCCUGGGCAACGUCUUCUCGAAUGUGUUCGUCUGGCCAUGUGGAUUUUUAGGAUAAACUUAUCAAUAUGAUCAACAUGGUUAUUGAUACUGAAUGCAUAAAUCAACUGUUACACGCAUCAUUGCUUACUAUGCAUACCCUGCAUGUCUUCUGACAUUGCAGGCACCAUUGGCUCUUCAAAGCCAGUAUGGUCCAGAUUCGCAGCUUCAUUCUCGCAUACUACACGGGGCGCCGUUGGUAAAUCAUCUGCGCCAUUCAGAUGCACAUAUGAACGAUGUUUGAUUUAGUAUGACAGGUUAUCAACACAAUCGUCCCGGAAUGAAGUUGGGCACUAUGUUUACCUUCGGCUGUAUGUGACACACGAUCUAUAUGUUGAUCAGUUUUUGCUGCUGAUUGUUCGAUUGUGGGCUGACUCAUACGCAUUAACAUAUAAUUGAGAGCUGCAAAAAAAUUGAUGGCCUUGUGUUAUUGCUCGGUUGCAUCAAGAUAUAUUACUUUAUCAGAACGUUUUGGUAUUUGAAGUUUGUGUUGCAUCCGUCGUAUGAGCUGUAUUCCCUCCUAUUGAACUCUGUACAUUUGCAUACAAUGAUUUGGUAAGGUCAGUUCGGAUGGAGGUGAUAUUGCACUAAAUGUUCACUGACUGUUUCCUUACUAAAGUAAACAUGGGAAAGUUUUACACGAGUAUUAUAUUAAGUCAUUCCGAGUUACCAGUCAAUAUCGCAUUAUCUUGAGAGAACGUUUUUUCGUAAGUGGCGUCCAUAUUGAGUGGCCUUUUACCUGCGCCUAUUUAAAAUGUCGUGUUAACCCAUGAUCAUAUAACGUUUGUAUCAUGUAAACACGUGGCAAAAAUAAAUUUGAGAAAUGAAAGCCAACACAAACUUGUACUUACUUUCUCUCGUUCUAACUUCCAGGUUUGGGAUCCGUCGGCGAGAAGUAUUUUCGCAGUCGGUCGGCUCGAUCAUGUGGACCGGACGUUUUGCUGGGCAUGUAGCUACACGCUUGCCUAGUACUGCAUCUCCCAAUCCCGGAAGCAAUCCAUCCCUGAUGAGCAUCUUCAAGGCUGCACCAGCUACUUUUGUUGCUUUCUGUAUCCAAAAUCACGUUAUGAGUUAUGGAUCUUGUUUGCUAGAAAAUGCUUGAAUGGUUGUUAUCAUAAUUUGAAAGCCAGAAAGGAAUAAAGGGAAAAUAUUUUUGCCGGUGCAUGGAAUCAAACAUAAGAAAUUUUGUGUUUUGUUCUGUGAAUUUGAUGCGGGAAGAGUAGUACCUUGUCAUAAUCAGAAUCGUAGGAUUCAUGAUCGUCUGUGCUAUCUCGCGUGAUUUCUCGGUUAGGCGUCAAGCUAUUGUCCGAUGCCCCAAGGCGCGCUCUGUGAUCUCCUCCUUCGGCUUCAUCUUCUGGCUCUAAAAUGCGAGUACGUAAGAACUGAAAUGUCAAGAAACAGUCGGUCAGUAAGUAUCGGAAUCAUAAAAUGGUGUGGCGUGACAAAAUUCUCAGCAAGGUGGUCCAAAAAUGCAAACGACAUUAUACCUUGCGUAAGCCGUAUUUGUGAAGUAGGCCUGCCCUCCUGUGGUAUUUGGAUGAGUUAAUCAUGUUCUUCAUUACCGUCGGGUUGUAUGCUGCCAUGCGAGGAUCCUUAGACUCAUCGACUUGGUCAUUGGUGUUUCGGACCAGCUCCAUGUAUAAAGCCUGCGGACAUACGAUGUUAUAUAUACAUGCCUAAAAGGUGCAAACGAUUUGAACCGUGGACGUACACUAGGGGAGAAUGAUUGUUGUUACCUGAAGGUACAAGAGACAUCCCUCGACUGUCACUUUAGUCUUCAUUGCUUACAGUUCUUGGAUUGUGAUGGGAGCUUUCUGAAAUAUGAAGUCAACCCCGUACUGAGCCCAGUUGUACUGCUUGAUUCUUGAGACGUCUUUUAUCGCUUGAAGAACUUCCCUUGGUACAUCCUCGCUUGGCGAUACAACACUAGUGAUGACGAACGCGACGAAUGCACGCAGGAACGUCUCGUUCUGCGAGUAGUCCAUCUCUUUCCCUGCCAUGGCCUCCAGCACCCUACUGCAACGGUGUCUCUUGGACAGUGAUGCAAACUGCAAACAGCCGAUAGAGCAUGCAUGAGUCGGCGACUACCAAUGAAAUCAAGGUUGCAUUUACUACAUGCGUGCGAACACAGUUAUACACAUACCAGAACCUUGUCGUCCUCGCUAAGAUCGCCAUCUUGAGACAUGCAUGGCUGGAUGAUGACAUCUCCGCUUGGCACGCCCAUGAUCUUGCUGAACGAGCUCGCGCCUAUCGGCGCCGAGUUCGAAUGCCCAUCGACUAGAGCCUUGUCGAUGACAUGAACCAGACUCACCAAGAAGACUGAGAAUCGUCUAUCAAGCUUGUCACACUCCGGGAUCUCAAGAAUGCCGUCAAACCCUAUGGACCUGAUUAGGCCCAUUUGGUAUGACGUCAUUUUGUCGAUCACACGGCGGAGAAGCUUGAUGUUCGCGCUGCUGAAGUUGGUUUCGAUCUUUGUCGGAUCGUAGUGGUAAGCCGACUCGGCCAUGGGGUUGCUCAUCGCGGGGGCUUGAUGAAGGUCUCUGGUGGAUGGGUUUGACUGGAAGCUUUCGUUCGGCGAUGCAGCCGAUUCAGACUGCAUCUCUCUUCUCUCCCGGAGAUGAGCUCCAGGAGACCUCAAAUGGAUGGAAUGCCUGCAGGCUUGUAGUGGGCUGGGUGUGUGCCAAUGUAUAUGUUGUUCGCUUGGCAACCCUAAGGGACUAUAACAUUUUCAAAUGGAGGCGGACCCUUAGACUUCUGCAGCUAUGCUAGAACUCUAUGGUCAAGUCACUGUUCAGAUCAGAAUCCAGUUUCUCCAACGCAGCGUCCCACCUCCUGCUAUCUGUUUUGUCUCUUGUACAUGCUCGUGAACCGGCGAUGCCGGAGGCGCAAGCCGGGUAGCCAGCACUCCCUAGACGUAUACGGUUGCUUGCCAGGGUUGGAAAAACGCCUUUUUCAUGGCUCUGUUGGGCACAUCGAUUCCAUAACCUUUGAUGUGCAUGGCCAAUGCAAACAUGUACAUCCCGUCCUUGCCAUGGUAACCACAGCACAAAACGUACAGGGCCAUUGUGUAGUACAAGUAGUACAACCCGCCAUCCAGUGACAACGUAUCGCCCGGCCGGAUUGCCGGCUUAAGUGUUUUACUGACUAACGUAUAGGUAUACGAGAAUGCAUCGGGACCUUACGAGUGUGGCUUAGGCAUCGAAACGCGUGUGUAGAGAAUGAUUCGGCAUGCGCAAUCGAUUAGCCAUCCUGACGCAUUAAGUGACCUGACCUGGAAUGCGCACUAUGCAUGGUUUUAUGAACGUCAUCUUGUACAUAUCCCAUGUAUGCAUAUAGUGGUCAUUGCUGUGUUAUGCCGUGAUGCACCAUAUGUAAAUAUUACAUAUAAGUACUGUAAAUUUGUGUGCGAUUUGAGUGUAUCAUUAGCAAACUUGGUGUUGUUCGCAUAAUUUCAUCAUCUAUGCAUGAUAUAUCCAGGGCCUACUUUUUUUUAUACUUACUGUGUACGAUUUGUAUGCGUGCAAUAACUCAUGCAAAUCUUGUUGCAUGCCUUUUUCCAUACACAUCAUUUAUUUUAUGAUAUAGAAAACAGCCGCAAAUUAUUUAAAAGCCAAAUUCCGACGGGCGCUGUCUUAAGAAAUCAAGUUUGUCGAAUUUAUUUUAUUUUGUUUUACCGUCAUAAGAAGUAGAAAUUGGUAUAUCAUCCAUGGUGGACUGCAUGGAGUAAACCCCUCACUGAUGCCGCUUUGACGGCUUGUGCUGGAGGGUGCACCGAAAGUUUUAAUGUUGUGCCAAACCACGGAGACAGGGGGCGUGGUAGUGGGGUGUGUCGGGAAAAUACCUCGCCACUGAUAUCCAGACCAUUAAGCUCGGAGGUUAGUACCCGCCGAUGAGUUCAUUAGGACAAGAGCAGUCUUACGUCACAUAUUAACGAUUAAGCAAGAACUUCCUCCAUCCAUGUUUGGUACGGUCCACAUAUGCCCCCCUCCCCCACAAGUAUAUUUUGCCUGUACCCGCGGUUUAUUUCGAACACUAGCAGCUGGGCCGCGUUGUUAUGCCAUUCUAAGCCUUGCACUUUACCUUUAGAUGGAUUGUCGUUAACCCCACCCCAUGAUGGUUCCUGUGUAUAUUGUUUACUCGCAUCCAUUCCAUCGUUGUCACAUUGCGACGGCUAGAUUGCCAUCACAUUUUGGGCAUUUCAAAAAACGUAGGCAUUUGGCAAUGGGUGUUACUUUUUUGUUGAAUCGUCAUUUGUCGCUGGUUUGUGCUCAUGCAUGUUCUCCCCGACAGCACUUCGCAUGUUGUACGUGUUAUCAUGUGCCGGACGAUCCAAGUAUAAGUAUUAUCAAAACGGAAAAUGGUGGAUGCCACAAAUGCCACCCGACCUUCUCUGGUUGAUCGUGGCAAUGUUGUUGUCUUGGCCGAAGGUAUUGUUAAUGGUUUGGGAUGGAUACAUGUACCAACAAUCAUGCACGGUUAAAUAUGCGUCAAGUUAUUGAAUGUGGACCCUGUGUUGUUCGUUUAUUGCAUCGAUGCUUUUUUUUAGUCCACAUCCGCCUGACAAAAUGUGAAACUGCAUGGAGUAGAACCAUCACCGAUGCCUCUUCAAUGGCUUGGUUGGAUGGUGAACCAACAGUUAUGAUGCCGUGUCAAACUAAGGGGACAGGGGGCGGGUCACAGGGGGGGAUGUCGUGAAUAUACCUCUCAGAUGAUAUCCCGACCCUUAAAACCCAGUGGUAAACACCCACCGAUGAAUUCGAUAGGAGAAGAGCAUGAAUACGCUUGAUGUAGCCGGGUUACGGAAGCCCAUAAGAUUUCUAUGCAUGGGUAGCAAGGUCCGACCAGUCCAGCAAAGAACUGUUGGAAGAGUCACGACCAAACGGAGGAAGCAUGACCCCGACAAAUGUCAAACCUAGCCUGGGUUGUUUGGUGCGGCAGAUAAUAUGGGUGACCUUUCGGGUGGGGAAUAAGACCGAACAUGGGGGUGGCCCGGCGGAAUAUUUUUUUUAAUUUUCCAAUCAUCCCCUUUUUAAUAUGUGUAUUGUAGUUGAAAGAGUCUAGUUAUAGUCAUUUUGAAUCAUGAUGUACCAACAAAAGUGAUAUCAGUACUCAGGAAAAUGGUUGACACGAAAAGCAACAUGUUGAGACAUGUAUCUGUCACAUUGGGAUUGUUGGGUUUACACGCCAGCCGAAGACACAUGAGUUCUGGCAAUGCACAAAACGAAUAAAAGUGUCUAGCACAUUUGCAGCAAACUCAAAAAUGGACUAUGUAUGUUGCACGGUGAACGUGCAUAUAGCUAACCUGAAAUUGCCGCCCCAUCAAUGCCUUGUGUGGUAGGGCGCACCUAUAUGUGCCAUGCAAUGGCAGCAACGUAUGGUUAUGGGGCGGGGAGGGGGAGGAAUGUCGGUGGUAUAACGUGUGUAGUACCAACCGGCUUGUAAGCCUAGUGGGCAGUACCCGCUGACGGACACAAUAGAACAAGAGCCGUCGUAUCAUUAUGUCUGGUAACGCCGUGUUACGUAAGCCUGGAAGAUUACAUUGCAUGAUUGGCAAGACCCGGCAAUGGAAGCAAGAAUUGUCGGAGGAUGCACGACCAUACGGAUGGAGCAUGACUAUGCAGAUGAUAAAACUCGAGCGAAGUUGAAUGGUGUAGAAGAUGAUACGGGUGACCCUUCAUAGGUACUACGUGCCCCAACAUGGGGGUGGCUCUGUAUAAUAGUUUCUUUUUGCGGAAAGAGUAAGAGCCGGGAUGUAUCGCGGUUGUGCAUUAAAAGUCGGAACGUCAACAACCAUAUGAUGUGUGCAACCGAAUGAAAUACCCCAAAAACUAUUUUUAACUCCUCAACCACAUAUAAGAUGAAACCUAUUAUCAUUUCCGAAUAGGUCGAUGAAUCAUGCAUCGUUGGUGUCCGGUAUGAUGCUAACAGCUUUGGUGUAUCGUUUGAUUUAUACAUACGACAUGCCCGGCUGUGAUCUAUCAAAUCAUUUGUAGUGAGCUUGCCAAGGCGCAACAUUUUUUGCUUAACAAGCAGUUAGUUCCACCGACACCCAAAACCAACAAUGUCAGUCCGAUGCAUGAAUCGAAUGGAGGGGGGACGAUCAUUGUUCACCGCCCACCACGUCCCAUCGUGAUGGAGCAGAACGCCCUCAUUCCCCCUUGNNNNNNNNNNNNNNNNNNNNNNNNNNNNNNNNNNNNNNNNNNNNNNNNNNNNNNNNNNNNNNNNNNNNNNNNNNNNNNNNNNNNNNNNNNNNNNNNNNNNNNNNNNNNNNNNNNNNNNNNNNNNNNNNNNNNNNNNNNNNNNNNNNNNNNNNNNNNNNNNNNNNNNNNNNNNNNNNNNNNNNNNNNNNNNNNNNNNNNNNNNNNNNNNNNNNNNNNNNNNNNNNNNNNNNNNNNNNNNNNNNNNNNNNNNNNNNNNNNNNNNNNNNNNNNNNNNNNNNNNNNNNNNNNNNNNNNNNNNNNNNNNNNNNNNNNNNNNNNNNNNNNNNNNNNNNNNNNNNNNNNNNNNNNNNNNNNNNNNNNNNNNNNNNNNNNNNNNNNNNNNNNNNNNNNNNNNNNNNNNNNNNNNNNNNNNNNNNNNNNNNNNNNNNNNNNNNNNNNNNNNNNNNNNNNNNNNNNNNNNNNNNNNNNNNNNNNNNNNNNNNNNNNNNNNNNNNNNNNNNNNNNNNNNNNNNNNNNNNNNNNNNNNNNNNNNNNNNNNNNNNNNNNNNNNNNNNNNNNNNNNNNNNNNNNNNNCACGCGCACCACACCCCAUAAUAUUGCAUCAGAACACCCUCCUUCCCACCCCUCCUACCAGCAUAACAACCUCUCCAUGAUGCGGAUAUGCAAUAGAGAUGUUCGGAUUAGAACACCGGAUCAACAUCGUCGGUGUACAGUCAUGAUCGUACAAAUACGGUGUAACAUUUAGUUUAUAUAUACACCAUAGUCGGCUAUGACUAAACAAAUCGCUUUUUGUUGAUCUUGAAAACGCGCGCUUAUUUUGCUUAACCACAGUUAGUCCCACCGACACCCGACCCGUCAAUAACACUUGGAUGAAUCGACCGAUCGGUAUCCGGGUGUGGUGAUAGCAUCUAAUGAAAUCAUCACCCGUGCGAGUCAUAUUUGUGGGAGUAGGUCACGGGGGUGACUAUUAACAGUACACAAUGACAUUUCGAACAGUAGUACGUUGGUGGUGCACCAAUGCGCAUCCUCAAUCUUAUGGUAGGCGGUGAUGGGUUAGUAGUAUGUGUUGAAUCAUCUUUAGACGCACAAAAAAAUGCGUGUACGAUAAGACAUACCGAAAAUGUCUUAUAUAAAGUUCACGUAACAUAAUGCACGAAACACUGAUAUGCAUUCCAUCGCUAUAGGUUAGGGUGUCAACGUUGAACAUUUUCGAUAGCCCUUCACGGCUAUUACACCACAAUGAUACCCGACAUCCACCGCGGGGGCAGAUGGAGGACUCACGACGAACCUUGCCCCGUGUAGAUAAUCUCCAUCAUCGUGCCUUUUUUUGGUGCGGUUGUACGUCAAAUCAAACCAUCCGUUUGAGAAUACAUAAAAAUUGUAAAUCAAUCGUCAUGUAGUUAUAUGAAAAAGGGAAAAACGAUAACUUUCAAAUGAUACAUAUUUAAAAACACGAUAUCAUAUCAAACACCAUUCGCACCUAGUGACAUGCGUUCUACAUGAUCAUAGGCGUUGAUGUACCGCGUUUUACUCGCACACACUAACGACUAACCCUGAUACGAUUUAUACCCAAGCACACCAAAUGGAUCCACCACAUAAUGAUCGUCUGACCGAUUAGGUAAAUUGUGCAUACGAUCUACUUAUUUGACGAACACUAGCACUGCAACGGCCAGUAGUAUGCAGCAGCAUAUCAUCUUGAUGGCCUGCAAGCUCCCUUCUAUUUCUCUUAACUGACGGUUGAGCCCCACCGUUGCUCGUGCGGCUUCAACUUCAUGCUGGUUGACUGCUUGCGACGUCACCGCUACAGCCUGGCCAGUGUCGCGGCCCAUCGAGCCUGCAUCCGUGUUGCGGUUCAGGAAUGCACGGAGAUAGACCUUCUCUGACUUGAAGAAACCACAUCCGCCCGGCCUCCCCUACAGUAUCACAACGAAACUACUACUCGGUCAAGGGGGGAAUCAUUAUGGAACCAAUUAUGCAACAAUAAAAUGAAUGUUUAUAGCAUCCUAUCUAAGACGUGAGAGCACUCUCAGGAUUUGGUCCACCGCGGAUCGCGGUGGAUAUACAUGCUUACUGUGUAGUAUGGGCACUUGUAGAAUCGCUGCCCUUCGGUCUCAGGCCUCGUCGAAACGAUCAAUUCCACUUGCGUUCUUCCACAAAACGGACAUGUGAUCAGAGGCAACGGGGCGCCCGUGUUCGUCCACCCAGCGGACGAACUUGUCGACAUAGCUAUAGAGGCCGAUCAGACGGUGCGAGACUAGAUGAAUAUAUCUAGCUGCGUGGCUUGUAUGGAUAUAUAUAGCCUGCUUGGAUGUGUAUGAUUGCAUAUGCGUUGUGCGCGCCGAAGACAUGCAUGGUAUUUCUUUUCUUUUUGUGAAUGGUAUCUUGUCUCAGGGGUGAGAGACUUUCUAUCAUUUCGAUAAAGCAUAUGUUUACUCUAUUGUUUUACCGUGGGGUGACGUUGAUGCAACGCCCCGCACGGCGUAUUCACCCCCAUGAGACAUGCUGUAAAAAAAUGGAAUGAUUAAAUAAUUAUAUGGUUCAACUUUGGCACACACGUACGAACCAGUGGGACAUAAGCUUUGGCUUCGACCUACACACCUUCAUGGUCUUGUUACGCAUGGAAUCUACUUUACCCUGUCCGCGUGCCGGUUUCUGAAAAAAUUGGCAACCGUAACGUCACCUCUGUCUGCGCGUCUUACAUGGCGGAUGGAUCAUUUGUGGAUUGUAUACUCACUCUUCACUCACACUACCGCAGUCCCGCCAUAGAAAAUCAAAGGGCAUCUCCGCGCGCUACCACCCGUGGUUCACCCUGCAAUGAUUCCUGCAACGCCAAGUCCCUAUGCCUGUAUAGAUUCUUCUGUAUAUUCCAGCACAGACCUUGCGUACUUAAUGUUUGUUUGAAAUAUGAGCGGUCUAGUUUUGCUUCCGUAAUUGGUACAUACGCUACCACUCAAAAAAGGUCAGUGCUUGCGUGACCAUGUGUUAUACCUAAGAUGAUACGAGGAUCAAUCAUAUGAUUAUGCAUGAGCUAGUCGUACUACUACAGUAAAAAUCAUGUUGCUAUCCCACGCCCCACAACCGGUGAUUCACAUACUCAUGGCGUUUUCUGGCUACCGAGGUCUCUGAAAAGAGUGGUAAGCGGCAUGGGUCUGUGACGCCGGGCCUCGCUGCCACAUCGCGCUCCGUGCCUUGUCUCGGCUUGUGCGUCCCUGAGUGCGCUGCUUCUCACGAGAGAACAGCGCAGCGCCGCCGGCCAAUGCAUGUUAGUCACACCGCUGGCACCUCCCACCAAGCAGUUAAAAACAAAAGACCCAUUACAAUCCACUCCCCGAUGCAUGCAUGCACCCGUGAGCCCCCGUGUCUCCACCACCCUCACUAAAACUCCUUAAAUGGAUGUGGGCGACCAUUGCAUUUGUACAUCACACGCAUCGCAUCGCACUCAGCCACCACAACACUUUCAUAGUUUUUAGACAUGUCGGCACCUCGUCGCUCCUCGUCCGGACCGCGGGGCAGCACGCAAGGCCAGAACGUAGGAUCUGGGAGCAACUCCUAUAUCUCUCGUUCUACGGCUGCCUCGCAGGGCCAUGCAAGCUCCCAGCCCGGAUGCUCACGGCGAUGGCCAGUAAGAAACUUUUGUAUUUCCUACUCACCAUGAUAUACAUACGUGUUUUGCGUUGCCGGAUUAUAACCGUAUUCUGCAUAUUCUUUCAGCUCGCACGUGACGACAUGCUCGUGCCAGUCACCGUCAAGAUGUUAGGCGACGCAUCUGUACGCAUAGUUGAUGGCAAUUGUCCGGUUAUCAAUGGCUAUCGCCCGUCCACUGUGAUUCCACCAUUCCCAUUUCCGAAUUAUUUAUUGCCGCGCUAGAUAAAUUUACCAAUACCCAAGUCAUUAAAAUUGAUAGGUCACCUUGGUUGCACGACUAAUUACACCAUCUGCCACUGGAAACUCUUUUCGAUUUUUCCUGGAUGAUGGCACCGGCAGGAUCGUUUGCACCUACUGGUAGGUGGUAAAACGAUUCAUAUGUCCCGUUGCUGAAAAUUGUUGUCCGCAUAAUAUUACUGAUCUGGUGCUAUCCACAGGUUUGCUGGGCACGGUGGUGACAAUCGCGUCAUGAACAUACCAUACGUCUCGAAACGAUUAACAUUGCUACACAUGUAUAUGACCCGACAAACACGUAACAUUAGUAAAAAUUAGGCACUUGAACACAUUUAGUGUGAACUAUCAUAUAUUCACAAACGCUUCGCUGAAUGUGAACUAGUGUUGGAGACUAUGUGGAUGUUAGCGGGCGUCCAGACGUGAACUCGAACACCCCUACAAUCACCGUGUUCAGUUGCAGGUGAGCAUGAUUUCACUGAUAUCAAUGGAAUCAUCUUGUUUGGCCAAAAAUGAUUUUCUAACGCAUUUGAUUUCGUGCAGACCUAUUGCUCCGGAUUUCGACCGUAUUACACUUCACUUCCUGCAAACAAUUUAUGCAUACCUUGAUCUACAGCGUGUACGCUGCAUUCCCCUGUCUUCUUUAGUUUCGUAAUCAUUGUUCAUAUUGGAUGAGUUAUAUGUUAACAAUAAUGUCUUAUGUUUGUCUUUUAUGUCGUACCAAAAAAACAGCCUCCUCCCGAAACGCUCGUUACGGACAUGUACAAUUUGCUGCGAGACUACCUCGACACUGGGUGUUUAUUGAUUUGAUUUUCUAUGCGUAUGAUCCAUACUAUGGUUGCCAAUUGCAAAAUGGGAAUAAUUCCAACUGUUUUAUGAUGCAGUGACGAGGGUUUACCCUUCUCGUGGAUCUGCACAGGCACCAGCUUCAAUCAUGUUAUUGUUAGGUAUUUUUCGUUAAAAUGUCUGAAUUCAAAAUAUAAACCCAUAAAUGAAAAUAAACAUCCAACUAACAUUACAAAUGUGUGGUUAUGUGAAGGAGGGCUUUGGAUAUCCUUGUAUCUCAUGAGUUGGCCACAUAUGACCCUGCGGAAGACAAGUACAGUCUACCAUGAAGUGUAUUCGUCACCGGAGGAUCCAGACCAACAACACACAAUUAUGAUGCAUGCUAUAUUAAGUCGUGUCAAUAAAGAAAAUGCGAGGGGGGUGUCCGGACACCUGAUCGCCUGAUAGCAUGUCCGGCGUCAUAUCCCCAUCGCAUCAGUGUUGUUUCAUGUUAUAGUUAUGUACGUCUAGUUAAUCUAGAAGUACGUAUUGCGUAUCAGUGGUCAUGUGUGACCCACGUCUAAAUCGCCUUGUAUCGUUAUUAUUUACUGUUUCGCCUAUGCCUUAUCCCGGCAACAUAUUAGGUGUAUUCGGGCGUCCUGCAUUUUUGGCGUCCGUUAUUGAUUGUAAUGAUGUCUGUCGAAGUUUGAAUAAUGUUGUGUCUCUGCAACUAGCAUCAUUUGUUGUUUUUAGUGGUCACCUUAUGUUCUUCCAACCGAUCGAAGCAGAUCUUGCACAUCCUACAUGCAUGAUCCCGAAGAAAACCGUUGACCUCAUUGAGAGCAAUGCGGGCGUCUUGGACAAUUCAGGCGUCAUCCUUCUGCAUGAUGAUGUAGGAGCUCAUGUAACGGCAUCGUUCAAGAAAUCAAAAGAUGGUAGGCUCGUCAUUCAAGGAGGUUUUCGGAAGUAUGUCAAAAAUCUCGAAAUGAAGUAAGAUGAUAUUGUGGUCAUCACUUUUCACAAACGCGCUGGUUCUGCGUCCAUGACCGUCCGGGUGUGCAUCUUAUCCUAAAACACCUAUGUCGUGCUAGUGUCUGUUUAAGGCAGCUUAUUAGUCCCUAUGUGCCUCCUCGCUGAUCGUGCAGCAUCUCAAUGCCUGCUCUUUUGUGAGAACUCAUAAACUUGGAACAUGUAACCUUCUGUGUGUGGUAUGUGACUAUGUGACUUUUCCACCUAUGCAUGUCCGUUGACUAUAUUUCCGAUCCGUUGGCAUAUUUUCUACUAAUGGCGAUCUGCUCUGCAUUGCUAAACUAUAAUUUCCCAUGGCUGUAUGUUUAAGUUGGAUGCAAC